CAACUUUAGUAUGGGGCCUUUGCCAACAUUUGAUUCUUAAGUACCUCCCCUCCUUUUGUCUCUAGAAGACUCUCCAGAUCCGCCCAAGUGGCUUUAUAUGCGGUCUGGAUACUUUCCAAUUUACGAAGGAAAAUACUGGGGACAAUACGGGGGUCUGGC